rnacentral:rRNA from 1 species
AUUGAACGCUGGCGGCAUGCCUUACACAUGCAAGUCGAACGGCAGCGCGGACUUCGGUCUGGCGGCGAGUGGCGAACGGGUGAGUAAUACAUCGGAACGUACCCUGUUGUGGGGGAUAACUAGUCGAAAGAUUAGCUAAUACCGCAUACGACCUGAGGGUGAAAGUGGGGGACCGCAAGGCCUCACGCAGCAGGAGCGGCCGAUGUCUGAUUAGCUAGUUGGUGGGGUAAAGGCCCACCAAGGCGACGAUCAGUAGCUGGUCUGAGAGGACGAUCAGCCACACUGGGACUGGGAAACGGCCCAGACUCCUACGGGAGGCAGCAGUGGGGAAUUUUGGACAAUGGGGGCAACCCUGAUCCAGCAAUGCCGCGGGUGUGAAGAAGGCCUUCGGGUUGUAAAGCACUUUUGUCCGGAAAGAAAUCGCGCUGGUUAAUACCUGGCGUGGAUGACGGUACCGGAAGAAUAAGCACCGGCUAACUACGUGCCAGCCGCCGCCGUAA